CCACCGGAAUCCGUCCAAUGCUUCGGCCGUAAAAAGACCGCCGUUGCCGUCACUCACUGCAAGCGCGGCCGUGGCCUAAUCAAAAUCAACGGCGUCCCAAUCGAGCUGGUUCAGCCCGAGAUCCUCCGUUACAAAGCCUUCGAGCCGAUCCUCCUCCUCGGCCGCCACCGCUUCGCCGGCGUCGACAUGAGGAUCCGCGUCAAAGGAGGCGGUCACACUUCUCAAAUCUACGCCAUUCGUCAGAGUAUUGCGAAGGCGCUAGUUGCGUAUUACCAGAAGUUCGUUGAUGAGGAGUCGAAGAAGGAGAUCAAGGAUAUUCUGGUUAGGUAUGACAGGACUUUGCUUGUGGCUGAUCCUAGAAGAUGCGAGCCCAAGAAGUUUGG
rnacentral:lncRNA from 1 species